AUGAGAUGCGUGCAAGAUCACAACAUCUGCCUCACAUCCUGCACCGAGAUACUCACAGUGCGGCCCCUCCUUCACCCUGCCUCUUCAGAAGACAACUUCCUUAGUAACAAAGUACCACGUAUAUAUAUAUAUAAAAUAACAAACAAAAAGCCCACAACGCUUUUAGGAACGCGGGGCUGGGGCUGGCCCCCAGCAGGCGGCCGAGCCCUACCGGAGCCUCCUCCUCCCCCCUCACCGCCGCCUCAGCUCAGCGCGGCCGUUGGGCACCAACGGACGGCGGCGCGCGCCCCCCUCCCCUCCGCGCACACCUGCCCCGCGCCUCACGGCGCCUCACGGCCCCUCCGCGCCCGCUGCCGGUGCCCGGCCGGUGCCCGGCACCCCUCUCCCCGUCGGGAAACAGCUCCCGAGCGCGGCGGCGGCGGCUUGGCGGGGCUCGCCUCGCCUUGUUUCCACACGGACAGCGGCGGCGAAGGCACCGGCAGGAAGCGGAGCGCGGGCCGGGCCCGACGCGGUCUCCAUGGCGACGCGCUAAAAUGUUUCUCUUUCUAUGCAAUAGCACUUCUUGAAAAUACUGAAGGGAAGAAAAGCUCCAGACAACUUCUAUUUGUCCAUAACAUGUCUGCAAUCAGCAAUGGUAUCAAGAAGGUCAAGACUUCAAGAUUUUUCUACACAUCAAACAAAAUAAGUUCAGAGCUGUGAUGGAGUAUCAGACAUAUAGACAGCUACAAAUCAAGCAGUACAGACAAUUUCUUAUUAUCACCAUUGAAGAGAAACAGACCUGAAAGUGUUCCCGCAGGUCAACUAAGGUAAUCAAAGUUCUUCUCUGUUGCUUUUAAUCAUGUCUGAUGCAGUUCAGUCACCUUGUAAUGAUGAUCUAGUUAAUAUUCUUGAACAGACCUUGCUAACUUUUAUUAAGAUUUCUUGACCUAACAAGUUCUUACAGUAUAUGAUUUUAAAAACUGUAUUGAUUUUAAUCAAACAUUUCUGAAAGACAAAUAAAAUGACAAUAAAACAGGCA
rnacentral:lncRNA from 1 species